rnacentral:rRNA from 1 species
CCCUGCCUUUUGUACACACCGCCCGUCGCUCCUACCGAUUUUGAGUGGUCCGGUGAACCUUCUGGACUGCAGCCGGAUUUAAUCCGAUUGUGGGAAGUUAAGUAAACCUUAUCACUUAGAGGAAGGAG